rnacentral:misc_RNA from 1 species
GUGAUAAUCGGGCGUCUUUGGAGCCCAAACUUCACUCUUCAAACACCUGUGCACCGUUACCUUUUUUUUUUAUAACACAAGUCCUCAGGAUGUCAUCGUUUACUAUAAACAAAAUA